rnacentral:sRNA from 1 species
GGAGUCCACAAAUCGACCAAGAAAGAAACAGAAGACAGAACAGUUGGGACUAACAAGGACUCCCAUAGUGACCCUCUCUGGCCACAUGGAGGCAGUUUCCUCAGUUCUGUGGUCAGAUGCUGAAGAAAUCUGCAGUGCAUCUUGGGACCAUACAAUUAGAGUGUGGGAUGUUGAGUCUGGCAGUCUUAAGUCAACUUUGACAGGAAAUAAAGUGUUUAAUUGUAUUUCCUAUUCUCCACUUUGUAAACGUUUAGCAUCUGGAAGCACAGAUAGGCAUAUCAGACUGUGGGAUCCCCGAACUAAAGGUGAGUCAUGUAAACCACUGGGGGAAUAUAUGUGUGAAUAACAUCUAUUUCUCAUCU